UUGGCUUUCUCGUCAAACCCACGGAUUGCAAAUUUACCCCCAAAAUUUUCAGCACCCCAGGGAGCACCAUUAUUUAUUUAUUUGUUUUUAUGUUGGAAAUAAUCAUCAACAAAUAGCGUCAUCUAACGAUACCAAUAGGAGAAAUUUGAAUUACUAUUGAAUUUUAAUUUGAUUAUAAUUUUUUCUUUUCAAGUUUUUUACGUAUCGUUAAGUAUCGAUUUUUAUCAUUUCCAAAAGACAAGCAGACGAAUUUGUGACAUCAGAACGAAAGAUUCGACACGUGUUAAGCGGGAGCUAAUAAAUGUGCAGUUCCUAUCCGCAGUCCUACAGUGUGCAAAAAUAGACAGCGGAAAAAAUCUGCUCAUCAUGCUGAUCUGCAAAAUGCUGGCUUCAUGACUACAUAGUGUUAAAAGACUCUUCCCUUAAGGAAAUGUUUAGCUGUGGACUUUCUUUAGAUGACUCCUGUAGCGUAAAUAUUUUCCUGCUUCUUGGAACAAGAAACAUAGGAUGUCUUGAAGUCAAUGAAGUUUCAUUGGAAGGAUUGUAAAAAGAUGUUUAAGCAAGAAAAACUUAAAGCUGGAGGAUGAUACAUUUGUUUCUCGUUACUAGUUUUGUAAACAGAAGGUUAUUGAUACAGAGUCAGAGAACAAUGUGUGGAAUCUGAUAUUCUAGUCCUGGAAACCCCAGGUGGCUUUCUGCUUCAACAAGGCUAUAAAGCAAUUAUAAUUUCAGGAGGUCCUAACUCAGUGUACGCGGUUGAUGCCCCACUAUAAGACCCAGCAAUCUUUAGACUGCGGUCUUCCAGUGCUGGGAAUUUUUUAUGGCAAGCAAAUACUCAACAAGGAGUUAGGUGGAACGGUGGAGAGAAAAGAUGUUCGCGAUGGGAAAUUCGAGAUACAAGUAGAAACGGAGUGCCCAUUGUUUAAAGGCUUAGAGACUCGGCAAAUGGUAUUACUGACCCAUGGUGACAGCGUAGACAGGGUUACGUCGCAAAAUCUUCGCGUCAUAUUAUUUCCGCUAUUGCUGAUAUUACUGAGUCCAGUUCCAUGAUUAGACUGAAAACGGAUGAAAAAGUUGCAUAACUUCUUGUUCGACAACUGUGGAUUGCAAGGAGGUUUCACAUUGGAGAAACGCGACCAACAGUGUAUCGAUUACAUCCAGUGCACGGUCGGACGUGAUGAGAUCGUGCUCAUGCUGGUAAGCGGCGGAGUCGAUUCCGCGUUUGUGCUGCCCUUCUCCAUACAGCAGUUCCUCAGGGCGACGACGCGUCGCGAGUGCAGGCCAUCCAUUAUCGAUAACGGUUUCCUGCGUAUAGACGAAUCCGAGCAGGUCGUCACUAGUUUACAGCAAGUCGGGCUCAAUCUUCUGGUUAUCGAAGUAAGUUUGACUUUCCGCGAUGCCUCCACUAGCAUACAUGGUCACUUAACUUUGUCGUUGUGUCGGACUGUUGUGAUGGACAGUAAAGACUCAUCAUAACGAUUCCAAAAUUUUUCAUCAGUUGCCCCUUCACAGCCGUGUAGUAGAACCUCAAGAAGACUUCCAUAAAGAUGAAGUAAGAGCCUUAGGUUGCGAGCUGUGUCCGCUCGCAGAAUUACUGGAACAUCACCCGUUUCCUGGUCCCGGUUUGUCAAUCCGAAUAAUUUAUGCCGAAGAACCACUUUUGGAAGCUGAUUUCGAUGAGACGCAAGUGUUGAUUGGUUUGAUGGUCCAUUAUGCCAACAUAGCAGCCAAGGAACAUGCAUUGCUCAAUCGGAUUGAGAUCGCGACGUCGGAAGAAGAUCGUCUUCUUCUGGAAGAACUGUCCAGUCACAAACAGUAUGUUGCCACGCUACUGCCUAUUCGCACUGUCGGGGUUCAGGUACAGGAGGUUACAGAAAAAUGUGUCGGAUAUGGCAAACCAAGCAUAGGGAAAACCUCCACAUUUUUUUGCUAUAUAUUGUACAACAGAUUCGCAAUUUAGACGUUUUCCUAAUAAUGCCGUGAUUGUAUUAAUCAGCUCUUAUUCAAGGGAGACGAUAGAUGCCACCGUAUCUACGCCAAGGUAUCUUUUUUUUUUUUUCUCUUGUCUAGAUCUUUUAAUGGCCAGUGGCAUGUCCUUGAUGCUUGUCUUAUCGAAACACUUGUUUACAUUUGGUUUUGUUGAAAAAUGGUGUCAUUUAUGACAAAGGGUCCUUGUGAUCAUUUAUUUGUGGAUCAAAGCUCAUCAGCGGUAAAAAGUACUCAAUAUGUUUGCUGGUUCACUUUAUUUACCUUAUCACUAACAGUUCAAAAGCGUUCUAGUAAUUUACCUCGGGCUGCUGUGAAUUUGUAUUACAAGUGUGAACAAGUUACCUUUAAGCUCAUGGUAAAAGUUAAACUUAAAAUGUAUGACUCAUGGAUCAACGGUAGAGCAUCGGAAUGGUAUUCCGAAGGUUUAGGGUUCGAUUCCUGAAAGAGUCAAGUUAUAUAAUACAAUGUAAAAAUAAAUCCGUUUGGGAAAAUAA
rnacentral:tRNA from 1 species